CGAUCAUCAAGAUUUAAUUACAAAAGUCAGCAAGGCCACAGGCUGUCACAGGUUGUUGUAGGCAGCAGCGUGGUGCAGGCAGGCUGCACAGCAUACUGCCAGCAAGAACAACACUUCCCGAAAUUGUCAUACUUUUUGUGCUCAGGCUGUGCAGAUGCUUUACCCACACACCUGGGCUGCAGUGGGUUUACAAGGAAAGUGCGAGUGAAUAUCUAUGUAUUGAUAAAAUAAAUGAAAACAAAUGGGGGUUGAAAUUGGGUGGUCUUUAACGUCCCUUCCAACCCAAGCCAUUCUAUGCUGACUGUUGCUGUAGGUUCAGGUGUGCAGCUCCCACAUGGCGAAGGAGAGGCUGGGACAUAGGGAUCUCAGCAGUGUCCAUAAAUACCUGAAGGCAGGGUGCAAAGAGGGCUCUUUUCAGUGGUUCCUGUUGCCAGGGCCAGAGGCAAUGGGCACAGACUGAGCACAGGAGGAUCCCCCUGAAUGCUAGGAAGCAUUUCUGUGCUGUGUGGUCACUAAGCAAUGGCACAGAUUGCCCAAAGGCCAUGGAGCCAUGGAGUCCCCAGCGUGGAGAUGAUCUUUGGAAUGAGGGGAAAUGGCCUGAAGUUGUACCACGGGAGGUUCAGAUUGCAUGUCAGGAAGAACUUCGCUGAAUGAGUGGUGCUGCAUUGGCACAGGCUGCCCAGGAAGGCGGUAGAGACACCGUCCCUGGAGGGCUUCAAGAACCGUGUGGAUGUGGCACUGAGGUACAUGCUUGGAUCAGGCGGGGCGCAGCCCGCAGGCCGUGCCGGGGCGAAGAACUACAAUUCCCAGCGCGCCCUGCGGCGCGGCGGAGGCAAUAAAAGGCAGUGUCGCGGCCGUGCGUGCCGCACACAGCGGUUGUCAGGUGCACGUAGUGUAGUAAUUGGUGUCUGUUGUCGCGCAGGUCGGCAGGUGACGCUCGGGCCGCCCCGCCAUGAGGCCGCAGGACCCGGCGCUGGAGGAGCUGAAGCGGCGGGCGUGUGAGAGCGUGGAGCUGAACGCGGCGCGGCUGGGCGAGCUGAGCCGCAGCAUCUGGCGGCGGCCCGAGCUGGCCUACCAGGAGCACCACGCGCACGACGCCAUGAUCGGCUUCUUCUCCGGGGGGGAGCUGCCGGGCGCCGCCUGGGCCGUGCGGCCCCGGUACAAGCUGGACACGGCCUUCCGCGCCGAGUGGGGCACGGCCGCCCCUCCGCAGGGCGCCCGCCCGCUCCGCGUCGCCUUCCUGUGCGAGUACGACGCGCUGCCCGGCAUCGGCCACGCGUGCGGCCACAACCUCAUCGCCGAGGUGGGGGCGGCCGCCGCGCUCGGCCUCAAGGCCGCCCUGGAGAGCCUGCCGCAGCCCGCGCCCGUCGCCGUGCAGGUCACGGUGCUGGGGACGCCCGCCGAGGAGCAGGGAGGAGGCAAGAUCGACCUGAUCAACGCCGGCGCGUUUGACGGACUGGAUGUGGUCUUCAUGGCUCACCCCUCGCAGGAAAACGCGGCUUACCUGCCCGAUGUGGCUGAGCACGAUGUGACUGUGAAAUACUAUGGAAAAGCUUCUCAUGCUGCUGCUUAUCCUUGGGAAGGAGUUAAUGCAUUAGAUGCUGCUGUUCUUGCAUACAACAAUCUGUCUGUUUUAAGACAGCAAAUGAAACCUACCUGGAGAGUUCAUGGUGUAAUAAAAAACGGUGGUGUGAAACCGAAUAUCAUUCCUUCUUACACUGAACUGGAGUUUUAUGUGCGUGCCCCUUCAAUGAAAGAUCUUUCUGUUCUGACAGAGAAGGUUGAGAACUGCUUCAAAGCUGCAGCACUGGCCACAGGAUGCAAAGUGGAAAUAAAAGGUGGUAAAAAUGAUUACUACAAUGUACUUCCAAAUAAGAGCCUGGAGAAGAUUUACAAGGAGAAUGGAAAGAAGCUUGGAAUAGAGUUUAUAUCAGAAGACUGUGUUUUGAAUGGUUUGUCAGGUAACUCAAUCUUAUUUUUUGUUAUGACAAGCUUAGCUUAUCAAGUCUUAAGUGUAUAAAAGGAUGAGAUAGAGGUAGGUUAAACAAAACAGUUUCUUCAGAAGAGAAGGUCAAAUUAGAAAACUGAAACAAUGCAGAAGGAUCAUACCUCUGGCCUGUGCUUGUUUGCUCUAGAAGCAGAGAAAUUUUCCCAGCACACAUGAAAAAUAAUUGUUUUAUGGUAUAAUUUUUGAAAAUAUUUCAAAUAAGAAACACUUAGAUUGAGGCUCCUUGUGUUACUUUGAAAUACAGAAUUCUGCUUUGUGCUAUGCAUAGAGAUUACCUUUUACAAACCUUGUUUUAUAAUUUUGUCAAGCUAACAUACAAACACAUUUAUGGCCAUCUAAGUUUACUUUUUUUUUUAAGAGAUAGAGUGAAGUUUUGAGCAUCUCAGUAACUGAUUAAAACCUUAUUCCAUGAACAGGUAGUUCUAUGCUUCUGGUUCACAAAUUCAGCAGAUUAGUUUUCCACAGGGUACCAUUCAAGUAGGUGCUCAUUUCAUCGUCUUGACUGUGUCUCAAAGCUACUUUAUUCCUCUUAGUUUCUGACCUAUAUAGCAGUAGGACUGAAUUCCUGAAUGCUCAGGUGGGUUUCUUGUUACCUUUUGCAGUUUUUUAGAAUCUUCCUCCAGGAGCGCUGCUCAUGUCUUGUAAGUGCUGCUAAUACUUAUAGCUUUUAAUGGUCAUAACUUAAAUAUAUAAUCUCUUUAGUCCACUCGUGUUAAAGGCCUUUCUCUUUGGUUAGAAGGAAAAGACUGCUCAGUAAAAAUAGCUAGUCUAAUUAGUUUAAUUUUGUUACUAGAAUCCUGUAUGUUAAAUGCAGAUCAGGUUCAGGCAGGUGAGGUCUUGAUGUCUGGGGACAGAUUCCUCAAACUUUUUUGGAUGGGGUUCAUAACAGAUGUAAUGAUAUUCUGGUUGCUUUUUUCCUCUGUUUGCCUCUUCUGAAUUGGGACAAUGCUAGCAUGUUUUCCACCAAUUGGUUUAGUUUCUUGGAGUAUAAAAUCAGUUUAUAACAAAAGUCAGGUUUCUUUUUUUCUCCCUUCAGUGUGGUACAAGUAAGAUCUACUUUGCCCAGUUAGCCUAAGAAAGGGGUGAAGCAGGGAGGGACAUUAUUUAGAACGUUCACCGUAGUAAAAUUUUCUGGAGCUCUACUGGUUGCUUCCUUCAGUGUUGUAUUGAGAGUUCAGAAGGUCAUUCAUAACUAGUGGUCCUGCUGGUUCUGGGAAGUUUUGAAUGAACUUGGUAUAAACAUCUAUCUGCUUGUAAUAGUGCUUUCAUACGUAAGUUACGUGAUACCUUAAAUAUUAGACAUUAACUCACUGAAACUCCUCAUGUGCCUGUCCUGUCCUGAACUGCUUGUCAGAUGUCAAAAUAUGGCUGAGAAGUUACAUUGUUAUUGCACACUGCUGUAGGCUUUUACUGACUUUUCUCUCCACAGUUUCUCCUGUGAAUUCUUGUGGUGGUGGGGCUGCAGGAGUAGUAACAAAGCACAGUCUCCAGAGAGGAUAUCAGUUUCUUCUGUUGAAAGGGAAGGAAAGCUCAGUUGCUGCUCCAUGUCUGUGCAGCAGAAAAGUCGUUAACAGAUGAGCAUGCUCCCUGCCGCCUCUACAUGCCUAUUAGUAUCGGUCUGCUUACAGGUAUUGCUCUAGGCAGCUAAGCAUUGUAAAGAAUUCCUUUAGUCUAUCAAAUCCCACUGCCAUGUGGCACACUCCACUCAUUUUGCACACAGAAUGAUUUAUGUGAAAGAGCUGAGUUAGACUGAGGAGGUGCCAUGACCUGUCCCCCUCCGGCUGAUGGGUUAGCUUUACUGCAGGAUGUUGGUGACCUCUUAAAGCACCCACCCUUAUAGCUUAUGCUGGUAUCUUUAGGAUUCAUAGAUUUUGCUGGCACCCUGUGCACAGGAUUGGUAUAAGAUGAACUUAGGGAACCAGCUGGUUUUGAAAACACCACUUCUGAAGUUUUGGGGCUGAAUAAAAAGGCUUCCUGGAAUUGAUUGCGUUUUUCUCUUCCACCCGUGCUUGUGGUAAUAGCUGACUUCAAUUAUGUGCUCAGUAACUUUAAUAGGCUUCAGUAUUUGCUUCAGGGUAUUUUUCUGAGAGGCUGGAGCCCUGAUACGUUUCUGUUGAAGGUGGUGCAUGAAUGUUUAUUGUGUUCAUAACUGCUAUUCUUCAUACUUCCUGAAGGAAAUCUGAUCUGUGCUUCUCUGGCAAGCUUACGGUUCCAGGUGUUUGUCUGGGAGCUAUUGGGGCAGCUGUUGCUUUAAACAUACUGAUAGGCUAUCACGAAGGGGUUAACAUUUUUCUGGCAGAGGGGAAGAUUUGACUGUAAUGUUUGUAUUUUAAAAAUGAUUUUUGAUUCGGUAAACUCGCAUCUUUUAAAGUAUCAGUGCCUCGUUUAAAUACCUUACAUUCAGCAAAAAUAAUUUAGAACUGAUAGUAAAUUGGAGAUGAACAUGGUUUCAUGUGAAUUACUUGAUAAUGAACUACGAUGCAGUGGAAAUUGCUUUCAUUUGCUGAUUGAAAGCAGGAAAAAAAGCCAGCACAAUCUUUCCAGUUGGUUGUGUGUUAGGACAAGUCUAGAACUCUUGGUUUAGUCUGGAGGAGGCAGACCUUCUAGACUCCUGGCUUGUCUUUCCAGAUUUACCAAAGAAUGUAUGGAUAGUACAGAGUCCUGAAAAUGAAAAUAACUUAGUGCUGUGCCAGGAGUUGAAUUCUCUUCAAGUUCAAACUGUAUUUAUGUGAAAAUAACAAUUUUUUGGAAAAGUCUUUCUCAUUCUGUUUAUGUACAGGCAUAGAAGAUAGAAAGCUAGUCUUGUCCUCUUUUAUCACAGAAUGUAGUCUCUGUGGACUCACUUUUAUUAGCUAUGUUUCAACAUAGAAAUCUGUAUCACUACCAAGUCUGAAAGCAUUGCUAAUGUAUUCUCAACAACAGUGUAAUGAUAUGGAGUCUACCUGAUGUGGUAGAAAGAAUUUAAAAUAGUUGGAAAAGUCCUUUCAUAAGCUAACUCUAAAGAAACUCUAAUCAGCUUUUUUGAGGUCAGAGCUGCAAAAAUCUCUUAGUUGGUCAUCCCUCCUUACCCGCCCCUACUUUGAAACAAGGUCAUUUUAUGCUUUCUCUGCUACCUGAAUUUCACAGUAACUGGUGUGUUCAUUUCUCCAGCUUCUAAACAUCUUUUUAACAAACAGGGAAGAGCUGAGUGGAUUGCCUAUUUGGCUUUAUUAAUAAUAAUAAAACUCUCAGGACAUAGUUAUGGACUCUUGGAUGAUUUAUUACAAAGAAACUACCACUUUGGGAUGGUAUCUUUAAAUAGAUGAUGUAGUCUUUGAGAUGGUUGCUGUCGCUAGGUAAUGUGCCAGUAGUGCUAGCUAGUCAGGUAUAGAAGAAUCAUUAAAAUCUUCAGCAUUGCUAUCAAGAAUUCUUUACAUCUACAAAGCAGUAACGUCUCGUGGAGUUCAGAUCUUAUUUUUUCAAGAGUUUUUGUGCUGUUAAUGUUUCCAUAACUGAGAAUGAUGAAAAAGCGCCAGAAAACAUGCUUGUCCUCAGUCUGGUUUUGUUUAAAAAAUAGAUUGCUUGCACUUCAGAGUUCCUACCUCUUGUGAAACGUUUGCAUAGUGGUGAAAGGAGGUAACUGUUGGGCCUGCUCAUAGGUGCUGGAAUGGGAUUUGAAAUAGCUAGACUAUGCUGUAUGGGAGCUUUCCUCUUUUUGGAAUUAACGGCUUACUCAGGAGAUGCAUGAUGAGAAUCUCAGCAAAUGGGAUAGGAACAGAUUGAUACAUCUUUCUUGCAGUCCAGUAACAGAUUAGUGACCAGAAGCACACUGGAGAGCAUCUGAAGAUGGCUAGUUAGGAAAAACUUGAUUCUCUGAUGGGAGAUCUUUGUGUAGAUGAUGAUUCACUGGAAAUGCUUACAUAUUAUUAUUUGGGACAAAGGAUAUUCUGUUGUAAAGAUGGGAUGGAGAUGAUAUCUUUCAUAGAUUUUCCUACAGCAUUUAAAACUCUUCAACACAGUGACUGAGAAUUUUCCUGCUACUUCUAGGUUCCACGGACUUUGGAAAUGUUACCUUUGUAGUCCCUGGGCUUCAUCCUUAUUUCUAUAUUGGCUCUGAUGCAUUGAAUCAUACUGAGCAAUACACAGAAGCUGCGGGGUCACAGAAUGCCCAGUUCUAUGCUUUGCGCACAGCAAAA